rnacentral:rRNA from 1 species
GACGAACGCUGGCGGCGUGCUUAACACAUGCAAGUCGAACGGUAAGGCCCUUCGGGGUACACGAGUGGCGAACGGGUGAGUAACACGUGGGUGAUCUGCCCUGCACUUCGGGAUAAGCCUGGGAAACUGGGUCUAAUACCGGAUAGGACCCUGGGAUGCAUGUCCUGGGGUGGAAAGCUUUUGCGGUGUGGGAUGGGCCCGCGGCCUAUCAGCGUGUUGGGGGGGUGAUGGCCUACCAAGGCGACGACGGGUAGCCGGCCUGAGAGGGUGACCGGCCACACUGGGACUGAGUGACGGCCCAGACGCCUACGGGAGGCAGCAGUGGGGAAUAUUGCACAAUGGGCGCAAGCCUGAUGCAGCGACGCCGCGUGAGGGAUGACGGCCUUCGGGUUGUAAACCUCUUUCAGCACCGACGAAGCGCAAGUGACGGUAGGUGCAGAAGAAGGACCGGCCAACUACGUGCCAGCAGCCGCCGUAA